rnacentral:rRNA from 1 species
CAGCCGCCGCGGUAAUACGGAGAGUGCAAGCGUUAAUCGGAAUUACUGGGCGUAAAGCGCACGCAGGCGGUCUGACAAGUCAGAUGUGAAAUCCCCGGGCUUAACCUGGGAACUGCAUUUGAAACUGUCAGGCUGGAGUCUUGUAGAGGGGGGUGGAAUUCCAGGUGUAGCGGUGAAAUGCGUAGAGAUCUGGAGGAAUACCGGUGGCGAAGGCGGCCCCCUGGACAAAGACUGACGCUCAGGUGCGAAAGCGUGGGGAGCAAACAGGAUUAGAGACCCCAGUAGUCCCUGUCUCUUAUAC